CAAUAGCGUAUAUUAAAGUUGUUGCAGUUAAAAAGCUCGUAGUUGGAUUUGUGGCGUACGGUGUGUUCCGGGCACUUGUUGUCUGAGUAACCUGCUGUUGCCAUCCUUGGGUGGAACCUGUGUGGCAUUAGGUUGUCGUGCAGGGGAUGCCCAUCUUUUACUGUGAAAAAAUUAGAGUGUUCAAAGCAGGCUUAUGCCGUUGAAUAUAUUAGCAUGGAAUAAUGAGAUAGGACUUUUUUGCUAUUUUGUUGGUUUGCGCAAAGAGGUAAUGAUUAAUAGGGACAGUUGGGGGUAUUCGUAUUCCAUUGUCAGAGGUGAAAUUCUUGGAUUUUUGGAAGACGAACUACUGCGAAAGCAUUUACCAAGGAUGUUUUCAUUAA
rnacentral:rRNA from 1 species